GAUGAACGCUGGCGGCGUGCCUAAUACAUGCAAGUCGAGCGAACAGACGAGGAGCUUGCUCCUCUGACGUUAGCGGCGGACGGGUGAGUAACACGUGGAUAACCUACCUAUAAGACUGGGAUAACUUCGGGAAACCGGAGCUAAUACCGGAUAAUAUAUUGAACCGCAUGGUUCAAUAGUGAAAGACGGUUUUGCUGUCACUUAUAGAUGGAUCCGCGCCGCAUUAGCUAGUUGGUAAGGUAACGGCUUACCAAGGCAACGAUGCGUAGCCGACCUGAGAGGGGGAUCGGCCACACUGGAACUGAGACACGGUCCAGACUCCUACGGGAGGCAGCAGUAGGGAAUCUUCCGCAAUGGGCGAAAGCCUGACGGAGCAACGCCGCGUGAGUGAUGAAGGUCUUCGGAUCGUAAAACUCUGUUAUUAGGGAAGAACAAAUGUGUAAGUAACUAUGCACGUCUUGACGGUACCUAAUCAGAAAGCCACGGCUAACCACGUG
rnacentral:rRNA from 1 species